AGUGAGCGGCAAAAGCUCAAAUUUGAAAUCUGGUACCUCUCGGUGCCCGAGUUGUAAUUUGGAGAGGGCAACUUUGGGGCCGUUCCUUGUCUAUGUUCCUUGGAACAGGACGUCAUAAAGGGUGAGAAUCCCGUGUGGCGAGGAGUGCGGUUCUUUGUAAAGUGCCUUCGAAGAGUCGAGUUGUUUG
rnacentral:rRNA from 1 species